UAACUCUCCAAGAGAGGAUGCAAGCAGCUCCAAUAUCAUAGACCUAGCUGUAGAAAGUGCAUGUGACUCUUAAAUGUAACACAUCACUUGUUAACUCCACUUAGAAUGGUGCUCCUCGAAGUUUGCGUGCUGCCCUGUGGAGGUUUGCUGAGCUGGCUCACCUGGUUCGACCUCAGAAGUGCAGGUAAGUUGUACCUCUGUAUUAUUUUUAAGAUUUGUUUGGUAAAUAGCUAGUCCUGCCUGUCUUUUUUGUUCCAGUGCAUAUGUCUACACCUUGAGACAUCAUUCUUGUCCACUCUGUGUUGCCUAGCUAUGUCCUGUCUGGUUGCUGUCAGCAUUUUGUUCUUAUAUUUCUUUCCAAAGACCCAUCUCUAUUAGGAAUACUCUUAUGUCCUCUAUUAAUGUGCUUCUUUCUUGUCCCAUCAUUCCCCAAGAGACUUGUGGGAUGUAUUUCCAGAGUAACAUAGUCUCACCAUCUUAUUCUGUGCUUCAUUUCCAACACGAAUGUAGUGAGCACUCAAUGUGUUGGUUAAGGAAUACUUACUGGAUGAAUGACAACUGUCCCUGAUCCCAUCAGCAGCAGAGUUAGCAAUUAUUGAAAAAUAAUCAUUUGUAUAGUACUUGGGUUGGAGAAGUAGAUGAACUGUGCAUAAAAUUUGAACUUGUUGAUUGUCUUUGACUCCUAUGGUGUUAGGUAUUAAAUCCAGGAGCUCAGGCAUGCUAGGCAAUUGCUUUACUGCUGAGUCUCAUUGUCAGCCCACACAUCUGGCUUUGUGGCUUGAGUAACAAAACAGGAUUGUAGUUAUACCGUUCUUUCCUUUUUCUCCUCAGUUGGUAAAAUGUACUGCGUAUGUCCCAAAGACUGUAUCCGUGAGAAACAUAGUAGAGUGCUCUAAAUCUUCACACUAACAAGGAACAAUGAUGUGUUCAAUUUAGGUUAAGUUUCAGUAAGAAUUUUAUGUGGCCAGAAAGAUGUAACCACGAAGGAAGUUUCUUUCUAUAGAACUUUUACUUUUGCUCUGCUGAUAUGUUUAUUUUUGUGUUGGCUUUGGUGCUAAGGCUAGGCAUGCCUAAGUGUGCGCUUCCACACUUCCACAUUUCCAGCUCAAGUGCCUUACUUUGAAAAUUGUCAUAUUAUUGAGGUAAUACAUCCCAGGUUUACAACACAGCAGACAAAAUAGCUGUUCAAAAGUAUGACUGUCCUGUCACAGGCCCUUCCUUAAACUCUCUUAAUUAUUCCCUAGUGUUGUUUAGAUAAAAUCUAGACUUCCCACUCAAGGCAAGAGAUAAUUUAGCCUUUGCUGGCCCUUUCCUAUCUCAUCACUAAAGAAAUACUAUAUUGAUUCAUUGAUCCAAUUUAGUUCUUCAAAUAGGUUUUAUUUCCUCAAGAUAGCUUGAUGUCUCAGAAAAUAAUCACCUCCUUCUGCAAGCAUUCUAGCCUCCUUAUCUUCUAAGUUGUAACUGAUUUCUGCCUAACAAAGAUGGCUGUAGUAUCUGUAGGCCUAAUUGCUAUAUAAGAGGGCCUUGGCCCCACUAUAGCAGACACCCUACUCCAUCCUCGUUUUUCUGUCUAAGGUAAGGAAUUGUUGUUUGAAGUCCCCAUUUAAUUUGACCACUUUUUUACCCCUAGAGAUUGUGCAGCUCUCCUGGAGAGCAUAAAAGAAACUUGUGUUGAUUUCUAAUUAAAAGAAGCUGGGUUACCAAACAAAAGUCCCAUAAUGUCUGGCAUGCCAAAUUAAUGGGUUUAUUUGGCUUAUAUACAAAAGCACGGACAACUUAUAAGUAGCUAUGCCUUUGAAGCUUCACCUCCAGUUAGUUUGCCUUUUACAUAACUCAGUCCUUCUAAGGUUAUGUAUCCCUGUAGUACAAAGGAAUGAUGAUUGGAAUCUUGGGGUCUUAUGACAUUUUCUUUUUCUCCCCAAAAGGGAGUAUUAUCAGACUAUCCCAUAGACCUAGGCACCUGCUCUGUAGUUCUCCUUGCUUUGUUGUCUGCUUGUGGCUCCAAGGUCUCCAUAUAAGUCACCACAGCUACUCUGCUUCAUGGUAGGGAUGGUCAUGUCAAGUGUACAGGAAACAGCUAGCCCACAGUAGCUUUUAACAUGACUUUUUCAGUAAAAUGAUGUCCACAUUUUAUUUUGUUUUUCAAAAGUUACUGUAUAAGGGUACAUACCAGUACCUGUAUAUAGAAAGGUAAGAGGAGUGUCAUUCCUGGGCAUGGUUCCUCAGGAGCUGUCCAGCUUGUUUGAUAAGAUAAAGUCUUCACUGCCCUAGGAUCUGCUGAUGCGACUUGGCUGGCUGCCCCUUAACCUCAGAGAAUCACUGGUUUCUGACUUCCUAGUGCAGGGAUUACAAAUGAGCACUACUAUGUCUGGGUUUUUAUGUGGAUGAUAGGGAUCGAACUCAUAUCCUGUGCUUGGUGCAUAAGCUAUCUCCUUUGUUCCCUCCAGUUUGUGUUUUUAAAGUAGUAGUUUUUAAUCUAUUGUUUCCUAUUUAAAUUAUAUUUUAAUAAUUGCUAUAAUUUGUGACAAAUUUUUUAAAUAUUUAUCUUUAAUAUUUUUUUACAGUCCAGUCUUUAUCCCUCUCCUGAUCUGCCCUCCCAAAGUUUUUCAAACCC
rnacentral:lncRNA from 1 species